ACCGUUAUUGUGAGAUAACGCUGAACGCACAGAAGUCAGCAGAGGCCAUAGUAGCUGAGUUUAUCAGUGAAGGGC
rnacentral:ncRNA from 1 species